rnacentral:rRNA from 1 species
GAGACAGCAUAGCCGCGGGAAUACGGAGGGGGCUAGCGUUGUUCGGAAUUACUGGGCGUAAAGCGCACGUAGGCGGCUUGGUAAGUUGGAGGUGAAAGCCCGGAGCUCAACUCCGGAAUUGCCUUUAAGACUGCCGAGCUAGUAGGUGAGAGAGGUAAGUGGAAUUCCGAGUGUAGAGGUGAAAUUCGUAGAUAUUCGGAAGAACACCAGUGGCGAAGGCGGCUUACUGGCUCAUUCUAGACGCUGAGGUGCGAAAGCGUGGGGAGCAAACAGGAUUAGAUACCCCCGUAGUCCCUGUCUCUUAUACA